rnacentral:rRNA from 1 species
GAUGAACGCUGGCGGCGUGCCUAAUACAUGCAAGUCGAGCGAACGGACGAGAAGCUUGCUUCUCUGAUGUUAGCGGCGGACGGGUGAGUAACACGUGGAUAACCUACCUAUAAGACUGGGAUAACUUCGGGAAACCGGAGCUAAUACCGGAUAAUAUUUUGAACCGCAUGGUUCAAAAGUGAAAGACGGUCUUGCUGUCACUUAUAGAUGGAUCCGCGCUGCAUUAGCUAGUUGGUAAGGUAACGGCUUACCAAGGCAACGAUGCAUAGCCGACCUGAGAGGGGGAUCGGCCACACUGGAACUGAGACACGGUCCAGACUCCUACGGGAGGCAGCAGUAGGGAAUCUUCCGCAAUGGGCGAAAGCCUGACGGAGCAACGCCGCGUGAGUGAUGAAGGUCUUCGGAUCGUAAAACUCUGUUAUUAGGGAAGAACAUAUGUGUAAGUAACUGUGCACAUCUUGACGGUACCUAAUCAGAAGGCCACGGCUAACUACGUG